rnacentral:rRNA from 1 species
AUCCCAGGGCUCAACCCUGGUUCGCUUUGGAUACUGGUAAACUAGAGUUGGAUAGAGGUAAGCGGAAUUCCAUGUGAAGCGGUGAAAUGCGUAGAUAUAUGGAAGAACACCAAAGGCGAAGGCAGCUUACUGGGUCUAUACUGACGCUGAGGGACGAAAGCGUGGGGAGCAAACAGGAUUAGAUACCCUGGUAGUCCACGCCGUAAACGAUGAUCAUUAGUCGGUGGAGAAUCACUGACGCAGCU